rnacentral:rRNA from 1 species
CUGGCUCAGGAUGAACGCUAGCUACAGGCCUAACACAUGCAAGUCGAGGGGCAGCAGAUCGAAAGCUUGCUUUGAUGCUGGCGACCGGCGAAUGGGUGAGUCACGCGUGUCCAACCUGCCUUCAGCCCGGGGAUAGCCCUUGGAAAUGAGGAUUAACACCCGAUAGGUGCGCAUUCCGCAUGGCGUGCGCAUGAAACUGGACUGGAGAUGGGGACGCGUCGGAUUAGCUUGACGGCGGGGCGACGGCCCACCGUGGCGACGAUCCGCAGGGGUUCUGAGAGGAAGGUCCCCCACACUGGCACUGAGACACGGGCCAAACUCCUACGGGAGGCAGCAGUAAGGAAUAUUGGUCAAUGGACGAGAGUCUGAACCAGCCAAGUAGCGUGCAGGAAUGACUGCCCUAUGGGUUGUAAACUGCUUUUAUGCGGGAAUAAAGUGAGGCACGCGUGCCUUUUUGUAUGUACCGCAUGAAUAAGGACCGGCUAAUUCCGUGCCAGCCGCCGC